rnacentral:rRNA from 1 species
CCUACGGGUGGCAGCAGUGAGGAAUAUUGGUCAAUGGACGAGAGUCUGAACCAGCCAAGUAGCGUGAAGGAUGACUGCCCUAUGGGUUGUAAACUUCUUUUAUCUGGGAAUAAAAUGUUCCACGUGUGGGAUUCUGUAUGUACCAUAUGAAUAAGGAUCGGCUAACUCCGUGCCACCAGCCGCGGUAAUACGGAGGAUCCGAGCGUUAUCCGGAUUUAUUGGGUUUAAAGGGAGCUUAGGUGGAUUGUUAAGUCAGUUGGGAAAGUUUGCGGCUAAACCGUAAAAUUGCAGUUGAAACUGGCAGGCUGGAGUACAGUAGAGGUGGGCGGAAUGCGUGGUGUAGCGGUGAAAUGCUUAGAUAUCACGAAGAACUCCGAUUGCGAAGGCAGCUCACUGGACUGCAACUGACACUGAGGCUCGAAAGUGUGGGUAUCAAACAGGAUUAGAUACCCCUGUAGUC